rnacentral:rRNA from 1 species
UACGUAGGGGGCGAGCGUUGUCCGGAGUUACUGGGCGUAAAGGGCAUGCAGGCGGUCCGACACGUUUUGUGUGACAGCGGGUGGCUUAACUACCCGAGGAUACGAAAGACGGUUGGACUUGAGGACUCGAGAGGGACACGGAAUUCCGGGUGGAGUGGUGAAAUGCGUAGAGAUCCGGAGGAACACCGAAGGCGAAGGCAGUGUCCUGGCGAGUGACUGACGCUGAGGUGCGAAAGCCAGGGGAGCAAACGGG